CAUUCCCAAAAGUAUCGGAAAAGAGUUCUCACCAACACACUGUAGCUUACCGUGGCAAGGAUGAACGAGCCUUUUUUGGAGCUAGACCUGCCAUCAUCUUCGUUUCUUUUCGCCCCAACGCGCUGGAAAAUCUUCAUGGUGUUUGUGUGUUCCCUUCCCGUGAGGGUGGCAGGCCCGGUGGGUGGGCGGCAGUGACAAAUCAGAAGAAACUUCCAAUGCUGUCCAAUUUUCACACCCCUUUCCUGCUAAAAGCUUGCUUGAACGAUGAACGAUGGGUCGGGUAGGGAUAGAAUGGAAGGGAGACAUUAGAAAACUUGAUUAUGUAUUUGGAAGUUGUGUUUUUGUUUCUUUUAUCAGCACGCUGUUUUAUUAAAAUUUACUGUCUUGCGAUUCUUUCUUGCAGAAACAGUUGGUUGGUGGUGAAUUGGGAAGAACAGUGAAAAAGCAUGCAAUGUUCAACAAGAGCGCGAAAGUUUGUAGGGUGGACGGGUAGAAUAAACGGAAGAGAGUGAGUAGCUGCCAAUGGAGACGCCCGGUGGUUUAUUGGACCGGUUCGAAUGGGAAGCAGAUCGAGUUUAGAUUAAAGUUAACACAGUUCCGUAAGAUAGCAAUGAUAAUGCGUUUUGGAGUGUACACUCGAUUGAAUUACGAUUUGUUCUUGGUUGUUCUUCCGCCUCGAAAGGUAUCAAUUAUUUUUAUGGAUCAAUAAACUCUCCUGACAA